UACGGGGGGGGCAAGCGUUGUUCGGAAUUACUGGGCGUAAAGGGCUCGUAGGUGGCCAACUAAGUCGGACGUGAAAUCCCUCGGCUUAACCGGGGAACUGCGUCCGAUACUGGUUGGCUUGAGUUUGGGAGAGGGAUGCGGAAUUCCAGGUGUAGCGGUGAAAUGCGUAGAUAUCAGGAAGAACACCCGUGGCGAAAGCGGCUCUCUGGAACGGUACUGACGCUGAGACGCGAAAGCGUGGGGAGCGAACAGG
rnacentral:rRNA from 1 species